UACAGAGGGGGCAAGCGUUGUUCGGAAUUACUGGGCGUAAAGGGCGCGUAGGCGGCCUGUUAAGUCGAACGUGAAAUCCCCGGGCUCAACCCGGGAACUGCGUCCGAUACUGGCAGGCUUGAAUUCGGGAGAGGGAUGUGGAAUUCCAGGUGUAGCGGUGAAAUGCGUAGAGAUCUGGAGGAAUACCGGUGGCGAAGGCGGCCCCCUGGACAAAGACUGACGCUCAGGUGCGAAAGCGUGGGGAGCAAACAGG
rnacentral:rRNA from 1 species